GAGGCGGCCGGGAUCUCGCGAGAUUCCUCCCGCCGCCGGGCGGCCAUCAGCCGCUGCGCAUGCGCGCCGCGCCGGCCCUGAGGUGGUCGGGGUCUGUCAGAGCGGGCGGGGGGCGCCUCACGCCUCGCUGCGCCCGUCCCCGUCCCCGUCCCCUGUCAGGGGUUUGGGGCCGCCCGGCCCCGUGUCCCAAAGCAGCAUCAGCGCUGUUGGGGCCGUCGUCCUCCCCCGUGAACCGCAGCGCCCGCAGUGACUUGCAUUCUCUCGUUCCGGGGAGUGGUGCAAAGUCCGAGUCGCCCCUCACUAUAAUAAUGCACUAUGUAAUGCACUGCUGCUGCAGAGUUUUAUGCAAAUAAACGAAAGAUUUCUCUUAUCUCGUCUUCUGACGUGACGAAAAUUCACAUUUUUCACUGUGUGUACAUAGACAUCCCCUCAAAGGGCCACGUUUCUUAUGCUAGAGAUAGACUUCUGUCACCCUAAUCACUUAUUUUGUUUGGGAAGGGAUCAAAAAGCUUAUCAAAUUACCAGUGAGUCCAACCAAAUUGAUCUUAUCCUUGCCAGGAGCAACGCUCACAAACAGAUAAUUUUAUCCUUCUUUCAACUGCAGAAUCUGAUAGAGCAACCCUAUGGAUUUUUAAGGUAACAAAAAUUUUCACUGGUCCUGAGCAAGAAAGUGAACUGUGGCUGAGCCCUGUCAGGAGCCCCCCCCUUGCCAUCCCCUUCUGGGCCCAGGCGGUGAACCAGCCCAGCCGUGGUUGCAGCCAGCCGAUACUCCUUCCCCAGAGGAUGGUUCCAGAAUAUGCCGGACAGAAAAGGGAUGUGGACACCAAAGGCAAAAUCCUGACCUUAGUGAGGGUAAGAGGAAGAUUCCUGACUGACUUCCCAAAGAUCUGGAGCUCACCCUCAUUGCCCAGUCAUCCUGGAGGACUUCACUGGGACACAGGACGUGCUGUGUGAGGCAAGGCACAUAAAAACUCGAAGAUAAAGCACUAUGGUUUCUGCAUUAUCACCAACUGUUAAUCAACUAUUUGACGAAUCAAUCUGUGAUUGUUUUAAUGGGCUAUACAAUAAGCAGCAGAAAACAUGAGUGUGUAUAUAUAUACAGACACAUUGAUAACACCAUUUUGGUUUUGGUCAUAGCUAGAUGAAAUUACUGUGACAAAAGCAAUUUUCCACUGUAUGGUUGAUACAGAUGUAAUUAAAAAUAACAGUCCUUGGGCAA